rnacentral:rRNA from 1 species
AAAUUGAAGAGUUUGAUCAUGGCUCAGAUUGAACGCUGGCGGCAGGCCUAACACAUGCAAGUCGAACGGUAACAGGAAGCAGCUUGCUGCUUUGCUGACGAGUGGCGGACGGGUGAGUAAUGUCUGGGAAACUGCCCGAUGGAGGGGGAUAACUACUGGAAACGGUGGCUAAUACCGCAUAACGUCGCAAGACCAAAGAGGGGGACCUUCGGGCCUCUUGCCAUCAGAUGUGCCCAGAUGGGAUUAGCUUGUUGGUGAGGUAACGGCUCACCAAGGCGACGAUCCCUAGCUGGUCUGAGAGGAUGACCAGCCACACUGGAACUGAGACACGGUCCAGACUCCUACGGGAGACAGCAGUGGGG